UCAGAUACAGGCUUGUCCGGCUAACUUAGCCUAGCUCGUUGCGAAUAGACAGCCUGGUUCUUUAACGUGCCCAGUGUAUAGCACUGAUACACGCUACACAUGCACUUUUUUCGUUUAAAAUACUUAAACUCACACAAAUCUCGUAUGAACUUCACAAUUGUGGCAAUCAAAUUCGCCCAUACUGCCCAGCGUGCUAAUUCAUUGCUGUUGAACGCCAUAGGCUGAAAUUUUAUAAACCUUAUUAACGAGUUAGAUAUAUCCGCGCUAAAACUUAUAGACAGGGUUUGCAGAAAGUGGCGAUUCCCUUACUUUAGCGAAUGUAACGGGUAAUUAUGGCCAGGCCAGUGAGGCAACUUUAUACUUCGCGCACAAUAUUGGCGUUAUGUGAUAGUACGCAUUUUUCGUAGACAUGCUUAUGGUAUAAUCUGAGCAUAAGUUAACGCAUAUGCACGUUUUAUAUAUCAAAAUGUUCAAAAUUAAAUUAUUUAAAAUGUUCAGAAAAAUUACAUAUUUCUUUAGUUAAGUUGCAGCGAAUGGCUCGAUUUAACUAUUCACUUUACUAUAAUACAUAAAGACGCAGUUUCUCAUUCUAUGCAAUUAGGACAAUCUACGCCGUCACCGUGACGGUGAUGGGCUUCCAGUCUGGGUGCAGCAACCGUUCCAGUUGAUUUCCGCUACAUCAUGCAUUACUGUUUACACUGUAACACUUAAGUAACAUAGGAAUGCUUUCAGAAGUUUUCAAUGACGUUGGUUUUCUUUGAUCUUUAGAUAAUUUAUUCAAACUCUCGAUUAAAUUCACUUCAUUGGCAAACAAAAUACUAUCACCAUAGUUUCUUCUUUAACAAAAUUGUGGGAAAUUUUGUUUUAAACUCUUUAAAUGCGAACAUUUGUCACGAUCAUUAAAUAUACAGGUAGUUUGUGCAUCAUCAUUUCAGUUUUACCCGUACAUGGUAUUAUGACGUCAAAGGAAGAGUUAGUUUUUUUCACCUUCCGUACCCAACAAUAAACAAUGUCGGCUAAAAAUAACAGGUAUAUAAAGGAUAUCGUUUGAAAUCUGCAUCCUCAUUCACAUAUAUGAAAUCAGCGAGUAUAUUUAUUCACUAUCAAUUUAAUAUAAAUGAUGUUUAAUUUUGAUAGAGGCUAAUGAUUACUUAAUACUGCCCAGUUAUAGGACGCUCUCUUUAGUUCAAAUCCCGAUUAGAACCGCCUCUUCAAUGGAAUACUGAAAAUGACAGAAUGUCCUGUAGAUUUCAGAUUAUUCUUAUCUAUCUAGAAAUUAAAAACUAUAGUAAAUAGUCGUUACGCGAUUUUGUGACAAGCAGUACAUUGCAUCUUUUUUUUUAUGUCCGGUUUAAGGACUUUAACCUACUGACCAGUCGUCAAUAUUGUGGUCACCCUGAGCUGGGGAUCGCACCUGGUAGUGGAUGUUAGGAGUUGUACUGUGUAGGGCAUGUAGUCGCAUUAGGUAGAGGUUUUUCAUGGGAAAAUGCAUUCAAGUCUCCAGACAUGAUAAGUCAAAUAUUAAGCAUGUAUUAUAUCACGUAGUAUUUUUAAAUUCUAUUAGAAAUACUAAUACUGAAAAAGAUAAAAACCAGGCUGGAGUUUGCCCUUGUGUCCUUCAGUGCUAAAAUAUCUGUAAAAUAGCUUAAUUCUUUAUGAAUAUAGCAUAGAAAACAUGCAUGUCUGCAGCUUUCGUUGGAAUUGGAAGUUAUGUGUUCUGGAUUGGAGUAAAAGGUAUUUGUUUCUGAGUCAAAAUACCAUACUACAUGUAUUGUGAGACCUGACUACUAAUCUCUUAGGAUGCGAAUUUAUUUUUAAGUAAAAAUCUGCCAAAUAAAUUCAUGUUAAGGAACCAUCUAUGUAUAUGGUGACCUUUAGCUUUAUUUUCAGUCGUCUUAUAGUUAUAUACAAAGUGCAAAAAAAAUCCCCCAAUAUUAAGUGCAUUUUAAAAUAUCAUACUAUUAAACAUUAUUUGUCUUCUGCCUAAAACAAUACAUCUAUACAAUAACCUUUUAAAUGAUACACUUAAAUCUCGUUAUAUUACACAAUGUACUUUCUGACUUCCAUACAGCACAAUGCGACUUAUGUUCACCAUACCAUACAACGGUAGGUAAAGAUUAUGAUGUGUUCACUUCAGCGUUCGUUUUACAUCUAUCCUACAAAUUACAAGUAAUCGCAGUAUUUAUAGGAGCUAAAUUUAGAAAAGCGCGGGGAAAAUUAACAUGUUUCGCUGGGAUAAACUUCUUUCGUUUUGUUUUGAUACAUAAACAACUGCAGACAUAACAACAACGUGUAGGAACUACUUUCACCAUUCAUAGGUUCCUCAUAAUAUCGUCCUAUUUCAAUCACUGUGGUGCUUGUUAACACUGGACAUUAGGCCUACAGAUAGUACAAAAUCAGGUCCGAGUGUCAAUGUGGCUGGGAUACAUGGUAUGUGGGAUUCGGUAGGAAGUCUAGUUCAGUAUUUGACACAAAAUGUAGAACAUGGUAGGUAUAUAGGUCCGUGACGGUAUGCUGUAAACGUCUCGCCAUAUUACUGAGGAGGUCAGAAGGUAAAAUCUGCCAGCUUUAUCAAUAUUUACCACAUUGCGCCUGGUUGUGUACAAUCAGUAAAAGAAAAAUAGUAUAUAUCUAAAACAGAAUGGACUGAGGAAAAAUAACAGAAGAAUAAGCCUAACAACCGCUUAUAUUACUUCCCCUUUACCAAUGGCGAAACUAAUAAAACAUGCACAUACGUAUGUUUAAUAGUAUUUUACCACUUAAUUAACACUUAACUGUCAAACAUCUAUAUCAUUAUGAAAGUACAACGGAAACAGAUCAUUGAUUAUUCAAUUUUAAUCAACUGAUAUGGUCAGGCCACAAUUCGAGGAAGUAUUGCAUAUAUGAUUGUCCGGGAUCACACGGGAAACCUGAAAGUUAAACUAGGAAGCUAUUUCUAUUAGUUUAUCAGUAGGAAAUUAUACUAAAUUGAAAUAAAAACUAUUUGUAAAACUACUGUGGUAUGUUUAGGACACGCACUUAUUUUUUCUUUAAAAUGUGAUGUCCCCAUUAGUUUAUACAUAUUUUACUGCAUGUCUUUACAUACAAGUGCAUAUCAUUCAAAACAAUACGCAAACGGGCCUUUACAAGAGAUUUGGCUAAACAGAAAUUGACAAA
rnacentral:lncRNA from 1 species